rfam:Frankia symbiont of Datisca glomerata, complete genome.
CAUCAGGUGUGCGCCGAGGUCUCCCCCCGCUCCAUACCGGACACCACUUCCCCGGUGUCCGGUGGCGUGAGCGGGGCGGGACCUGGGCACACGCCGGGCCCUCG